rnacentral:lncRNA from 10 species
AUUAUAGCCAUCCUAGUGAGCAUAAUAUGUGUUGGUGGGACCUACGUAUAGGAUAAGACAGUGCUCCUGAGAUCAUGCUAUGUUGUGUAUAAAGGGAUUCCGCAGAUGUAGUCGGGGCCCCAGUCGCUGGAAAAAAAAUGGGACCUCAGUCACAAAACCAUGUGGGAUUCAAUUCUGUCUGCAAUUCUGAAAGAACUGAAAUGAGGUCCCCAUGCUACAGAUGAGAACCACAGCCCUGGAAGACGCCUGGAUUGCAGCCUUGUGAAAACCGAGCAAAAGACCCAACUGAGCCCUGCCUGGCUUUCAGUUCUACAGAGCUGUG